GUAGGUGAACCUGCGGAAGGGUCAUUAUCGAGGGGCUCACGCCCCGUCGAGAUAGGACCCUUGCCUUUUUUGAGCACCCGUUUCGUUUCCUCGGUGGGCUAGCCCGCCAAUGGGGACCCCUUAAAAACCUUUGAAUGUAACCUGAAAAUCGUCUGAACAAAUUUAAAACAAUCAAAACUUUCAACAACGGAUCUCUUGGUUCUGGCAUCGAUGAAGAACGCAGCAUCUGACUGACUCAGGUCUGUAUUAU
rnacentral:misc_RNA from 1 species